GCUUAACCUUACAGGAGUUUGGGCUCCUUCAGCAUUUGUAUUCUAUCCAAAUCCUCAUGAGUCACAAAAAUUAAAUAGCUAUAUCCUUCUGGAUGCCAGGAAGGGCCUUACCACAAGCCUUUUGUCAGGGAGAGAGAGAGAAAGAGAGAGCAAGAGCAAGGGGGGAAAAGCCACAGUGGUAGGCAGUCCCACUUUACUUUGAGUACUGUGAGGUCACAAACCACAUGAUUCUGUCUCUCCAGUAAUAGUGCUUGCAAAAAAAAGGAGUUUUAAAGCUUUUGCUUUUUUGGAUUGUGUGAAUGCUUCAUUCGCCUCACAAACAACCACAGAACCACAAGUGCGGUGCAAACUUUCUCCAGGAGGACAGCAAGAAGUCUCUGGUUUUUAAAUGGUUAAUCUCCGCAGGUCACUACCAGCCACCGAGACCAACAGAGUCAUUUAAGGCUGCAAGGAGAAUUUACAACAGAGGGUACAAGUUCUAUCUGAAAAAAAAGGAGGGACUAUGGCAUCAAACAGCCUCUUCAGCACAGUGACACCAUGUCAGCAAAACUUCUUUUGGGGUGAGGAAACUGAAGUCCAGAGGGGUUUCUUGAACUGCCCAAGGACACAUCACUAUUUAGUGAUACAGCUGGGACUAAAACUGAGGUCCCCUGACUCCUGGUCCAGAGUUCUUUCUACUAUCCCACAAGGAACAUACAAAUAAAAGUUGAUCAUAAUUAAC